rfam:Caenorhabditis remanei strain PB4641 contig49.14, whole genome shotgun sequence.
AUCCAUUGCCCUACUAUUCGCAUCUCAUCACUUCCUCCAGUAAUAUAAGGAUGAGAUCGUUCAGUACGGCAAUGGAA